AAUCUAAUGUGUUUCCAAUUUUACCCCCGAUGAUUUUUUAUUUUUUCUGUUUGUUAUUUGUCCGUUAGUUUAUUCAUGUCAUGAAACUAUAAUUUGCGAAGCAUUCGAAAAUCUCAUAGCUGGAUCAUUUAAGAGAGGAGAAAGAUAACAAACAACUGCUAAAAUUGCCGCCGAUUGCAACCAACCCAUGUAUGCAAUUAAAGCCCUUCAACUCCUUCAACAUUGCCUUCAUGAUGAGCGGCGCAUUCUCGAUCCUCUUCUUAUGCAGCUUCCUCGAAUUCCGCACCUGACCCGUUUACCCAUUUAAUCGGCGCAUUUAGGAAGUGGGGUGCCAAAGUGGGUUGCUCCCGUUUGAAAGAGAAGCACAAGCAGCUGCAGUUCUGCAACAAAUUCACUGCGAAUCAGAAUGGGGGGAGUCGAAACUGGAGCAUGUUAGCGUGUUGGUGAAGGUGUGGACUUGGAUUACUGAUAAUUUGGAUAAUUUGUAUUCGUGUCCGUGUGGGUUGAGCUGUUUGUGGACUAAAUCUUAUGUUCUUGUUAACAAGCCUGAUGCUUUGCUGUUUGAGACCACUACACCUCCCCUUCAGCUCAAAGAAGGAAGGGAUUGGAAGAUGUGCAUCAGCUGCAUAAUUGAAUUGAGGAGAGAGAGACUGAUUUCUUGCCUUCUCCAAUUCCUUCCUUCUGGGAUUUGUCUUGGUAUUCUGCAAGGAAGGCUGAGAUGGAAGUUAUCAGGUCCGAAAUGCUCGAUAGGGAAAACAUUCAGAAGUUUUGGGAUGAGAAAAUGAAUGCAGAGAAAACCCGUGGUCUUGAGGUGGAGAAGGCUUAUCUUGCUGCCCUUAGUGAUUUGGAACAGGAGAAGAUUAUCCAAGAAAAGAAUUUUGCCGAGAUUUAAGGGAUAAGUCCGCUAUGGACUGCCAGAGGCAAUUACUUCUCAGUCCCAAGGAAGAGGUCAUUAAGAUGUCCAAAAAGCUUGCAUCUGAAAAUGUUCAGUUUCAUAAAUAGUGUUGUUUCGGUUUCAUAAGUAGUGUUCAGUUUCAUAAAUAGUGUUGGCUUAGUUUCAUAAAUAGUCUUAGUUGCAUUUGAGUUGUAAAUCCAUGAAAUUAUAUUCGCAAUUUGAUUUCUUUCAAUUGACGCGCUAUAA